rnacentral:rRNA from 1 species
CCUACGGGUGGCAGCAGUGAGGAAUAUUGGUCAAUGGGCGCAAGCCUGAACCAGCCAUGCCGCGUGAAGGAUGACUGCCCUAUGGGUUGUAAACUUCUUUUGUACGGGGGUAAAGUGAGACACGUGUACCUUUUUGUAUGUACUUUACGAAUAAGGAUCGGCUAACUCCGUGCCAGCAGCCGCGGUAAUACGGAGGAUGCGAGCGUUGUCCGGAUUUAUUGGGUUUAAAGGGAACGUAGCUGGUGUGUUAAGUCAGAUGUGAAAUUGUGGGGCUCAAACUGGGAAGUGCAAUUGAUACUGGCAGGCUUGAGUAUAGUUGAGGUAGGCGGAAUUCGUGGUGUAGCGGUGAAAUGCUUAGAGAGCAGGAAGAACACCGAUUGCGAAGGCAGCUUACUAAGCUGCGACUGACGUUGAGGCUCGAAAGCGUGGGUAGCAAACAGGAUUAGAUACCCCGGUAGUC